UGUGCUUCAAGGAGACACUUUGUAUGACAUUGUGGAACGCUCGGACAUUGAUAUUGUUCAAUCGAACCUGGACAUUGAAAGCAACUCAUCAUCAGAGAGGAGCUUUAUAUGCUGUAUGCAAACCUCGAAGGCCUUCAAGCUGCAACACGGCAGCUGCUGUUCCAUGCUGGUCAGAGGGAGCUUCCAGUCUGUCCCUCAGCCUUGCCCGUCCUCCUCUUCAGCCUGUCCCACCAACCAGCCUCUGUUUGUGGCCCUCUGCACCCCCACGGUCGAGCGCCUGCAGAACACUGACUCCCACUUCUGUCACAGCUUCCACAGCGUCCACAGACUCGAUAUGACUUUCACUCAGCUGUCGGACAGGUACAUUCAUAGAUCCUCGUGUAAACAGAUAUAAUCAAUAUGUUCUCGUACUGGUUGCUGACAAACAUUUUUAUGUCUUUCUGUUUCAGUGUUUUAUAUUUUUUGGGGUAUUCGGCAGAAGAACUGACCGGUCGAUCGUGGUACAGUCUCGUCCACCCUGAAGAUCUUUCUUUGAGUGCAGAAUUGUCAUAGAAGUUUAAUGCAGGCAGACGAGGGCUUCCAGGUAGAGGUGGUGCUCAGACUCCAGUGCAAGGAUCUGACGUGGACGUGGAUCUACAUUCAAGCUAACAAGGACUCUGAGUGCCAGAGUGUGAGCUGCACUAACUUCAUCAUCAGUGAAACAGAGGCCAGAUUUCUUCAAGAGAAAAUCAUCAGCGAUGCCUCAAGGCCAUCCUCUCAACAGGCACCCCACGCUCAGAGCCACAACACUAAAUGCUUUAAAAGGCAGAGGACGUCUAACAGCCAAAGUGAGGAGCCAGGUGCCAAAGCUAGGAGGGAGUCCGAGGAAGACGUAUACUAUAUGGCGUGCGCCUCCUCCCAAGGUGAUAGCUCACCUGUUCCCCUGGGUGACAGCCCUUCUCUCUUCACCCCUCCCUACAGCCCGGCCUCCUCCAGCUCCCCUCUGCAGCAGGAGGAGCUCAGCCAUGACCUCCUGAUGGAUGUGCAUGGAUACACAGAUCAGCUGCUGUCCUCCCCUGAGUGCUCUCCCCCCUAUUAUUCCUACCCAGAGGCACGGCACACCUGUCACCAAUCACCCUCCGACUCCCUCCCCGUCGCCGCUGCACAAACCUUCGACCGGGAAGCCUUCGGCUCUCUCUCUCCGCUCUCCUCCUCGUCUCCAACCUAUGAUUUCCAAGCUUGUACGGCCGAGGCUCGAUUAGUUCCAGACUGCCUGUCUGUGUCCGACAUGUGUGAGAGCCCAGUGGACUGUGCUCUGCAUCAAGAUGACUUCGGCAUCCUUGAGGAGCCACAAGGGGGCAGCCUUAUCCAGGUGCAUCAUGUUCCCCAACACGUGUUGCCCAUACAUUCCGGACCCCUCACCCCCAACCAAUCGCCCACAUCCACAGAGUCCAACCAUUACAACGAGAAGGAGCAGGCAGAGAUCAGUAUUCUGGCUCAGCAGAUCUCCUCCCUGGCCAGCAGCUUUUCCAUGUAUCACACCCUGAACCUGCUUCAAAAUGUGCCCCAACCUGCACCAACUAACGCCCUGCCCUCAGCCUGCGACUGGCACCAUCACCCUCCUCUCCCUUCAGACGUUCCUCUUAAGCGGGAGCCAGUCCUCGAUGUCGGCGUGUUCGACAGCAUCCUGAAAGACCUGGACAUGGUCACAAGGAAAAGCAGCAUGUGCGGCCCCGGGGCUGUAACAUACAGCUACCAGCAGGGCUUGUUGCACUGCAGGAGUGAGUCCCAUCAGCUGGAGCAGGGGCCACUCGGUCUCUCCCCGACUAUCGCAGAAGACCCGCUGCCUGCAGAGCAGUUCACCUCCACAGAUCCCUUCAGUUUGCAGUUGGGACACCAUGACCAAAACACUGAGUUGCAUCAACUCAACCACUAUAUGCAGAGUGCCCUUCAGCAAGAUGGACUUGCUGAAGAAAACCUGUACUGAAAUAAGUCUGUGACUUACUGUACUCCCACUUGUAUGACAUAUUGUCAGCGCUGAAUUCAAAGACGAAUGCGAGCAAAGACAUUUAAAGGACAUCUUUGCUGAGACACUGUUUCCUCAAAUGACUUAUUUCUGAAUGUAGAAAAGCAACUGAAUUAGAUCAUGCGCUCUUCAAGAUUACAGCUUUGUCUUCAUUUCUCAACACCGCUGUCGACUGUGUUUUAUGUUUUGCUGAUUUUACAUUUUUAUGAAAAAGGUGCUUUUUAAUAAUGUGUCUGACAACUCUUACACACUGGAAUUGAAGUAUAUUUUUCUUCUAAUGCUGAGUGACCACAGUUUACUAUUGAGCACUUUAUCAAUGUCAUUGCCACAAUAAUUUUAUAAAUGAGAAGGCGUGCUGAUUUGAAGGAGUAUUAUGUUGAUUUAAAAAGCUACCUGGACGAGCUUUUACCACAUAAAUCAUUCCUUACAACAAAGAUGCAGUUGGAAAUGUUUGGCUUUAGGUGCCUUAGAAACAUGCAGUCUAGCUAAAAAAGAAUAUUUCCAUUCCUUAUAUCUCAGUUUUCUCAGUGUGCCAUUAAUGCGUUCAUGCUGUUAUGAAUAAAUAAGCAAGAUAAUGAUGAUUGUUACACCUACCUCAACGGUACAUCUGAAUACAUUCCAAGUCUGAAUUUAAUGAAUGAAUGAUAUUUAUUUUGAACAUCACUUCUUACUCUCACUUAAUUGUCUUAAAAUGUUUGUACUUUACUGCAAUGUGAAUCUUAAACUUUAUUUUUUAAUUCAUUCCACAUGACUUUUUUUCACGGUACUGGUACUGCACGUCUAAGUGUUUGUCCUGCAACUUGCUUCAAAUGUUUGAAAUGUAAAUAAAACAAAUGAGAAAUGCAUUGGG
rnacentral:lncRNA from 1 species